rnacentral:misc_RNA from 1 species
CAACCCUCGAACCCCUCCGGGGGGUCGGCGUUGGGGAUCGGCCCUCCCUUAGCGGGUGGCCGUCUCCUAAAUACAGUGGCGGUCUCGCCGCAGCCUCUCCUGCGCAGUAGUUUGCACACUCGCAUCGGGAGCGCGGCGCGUCCACAGCCGUUAAACACCCAACUUCUGAAAUG